UUCUUAAUUUAUUAUCUGCUUUUCUUGUUUUAUUAAUUGUUUAAUAGAAAUAACUUUCUUGUUAAAUUUGUCUAAGUAUAUUUUAUAGAAUUGAUUUUUAUUAUUAUAGUUUAUUAGUAAUGUAAAUGGAAUAUUUAAGAUUGUUUAAGGGGUUGAAAGUAUUUAUUGUUUGGAGUACCUUUUGUAUCAGGGUUGAUUAAUAUUUUGUUGUUUAUAAUGUCACUCUCGAUUUAGGUUGAUCUAUAAUCAAAUGUUAGUUUAUUGUGUUAUAACUAUCUAAAAUUUGAUUAUAGAGAUGAUAUGUCAUUCGUUUCCUAAGAUAUCUAGUUUCUUAAGAAGAAAUUUAAUUUUUAAUAAUUCUUGUUUUAUUACAAUUUUUUGUGGUUAAUUAAGAUUUAAUCUACACCUUAGGGGAUAAGCUCUUAGGUAUUUCCCUAUAAUUGUUAAUUUUUUAUUGAAUAGUAGGCUUUGAACCAGCUAUCUUUUUGAUUACGUUUUAGUUCAUUAUUAUUCUUUUGGAUUUUAUAACUUUUUUAGGUUUAUUAUUAAGACGUUUGAAUUAAUUUUUUAUUUUUGGUGAUAAUGAUUGAAUUAGUAUAUAAGGUUGUUUAUUUAUAUUCCUUUGAAGAAUUUAUUUUAAGGAACUAGGCAAAAUUGGUCCUCGCCUGUUUAUCAAAAACAUGUCCUUUAGAUUAUAAUUUGAGGUCUGACCUGCUCACUGAAAUUUUAAAGAGCCGCGGUAUUUUGACCGUGCAAAGGUAGCAUAAUCAUUAGUCUUUUAAUUGGAGGCUGGAAUGAAUGGUUUGACGAGGGGCCGACUGUCUCACAGUAAUUUGUAAAAUUUAACUUUUAAGUCAAAAGGCUUAAAUUUUUCUUUAGGACGAGAAGACCCUAUAGAGCUUGAUAUAAUGUUUUUGAUUAUUUUCCUGUUUGUUUAUUUUAUUCAUUAAUUAUAAUAUUUUGUUGGGGUGACAUAAAGAAUAAAUAAACUCUUUAUUAUUAGAUCAUUAAUUUAUGUUUAAAUGAUCCACAAUUUGUGAUUAAAAGAUUAAGUUACCUUAGGGAUAACAGCGUAAUUGUUUUUUAGAGCUCAAAUCAACAAAGCAGAUUGCGACCUCGAUGUUGGAUUAAGAAAAGUACUUGGUGCAGUAGCUUAGUAACUAGGUCUGUUCGACCUUUAAAUUCUUACAUGAUCUGAGUUCAGACCGGCGUGAGCCAGGUCGGUUUCUAUCCUAAGAAUAAUUUUUGUGCUAGUACGAAAGGACCGUACAAUUGGAAUAUUUCUUUAAAUUGUGAUUCAUAAUAACUU
rnacentral:rRNA from 1 species